AGCACAAACAUGGCAGCGAUCACACCACAGUAGAUCCCUACGAUCACCAUGGUCGGCGGCAGGGCCUGGAAUGAGAGGAAGAAAAAAAUGAGCAUGCAGUGUGGAUUGGAAACUGUUUUUGGGGGUGGAAGAAAAACAAAGGAAGAAGACGUGCAGGUUGAUGGAUUAUGGAAGCAGCUGUGAAGGUCAUUCCACUCGACGAUGGUCCAUAUAUCAAGUGCUAAUAAUUAGGUGCUCAAUUUGCUGAGGAAGAAUACUUGCCUAUUUUCUUAAUGACCCAUUUAAAAUUAAAAUGAGGGAAA